CCGGAGGGGCGGAGGCUCGCUCCCGGUUCGCCGGGGGAGGAAAGUCCGAGCACCACAGGGCGCGAUGCCGCGUAACCCCGGGCUGCGGCCCGGGAAUACACGCGGGCGACCGGGUCGUGAGGCCCGGCCUACGGACAGUGCCACAGAAAACAAACCGCCGACCAUCCUGUGGGGUGGUCGGCAAGGGUGAAAAGGUGGGGUAAGAGCCCACCGCCCGGCGCGCGAGCACCGGGGCACGGAAAACCCCAUCGGGUGCAAGGCCAAAUAGGGGAUCGAGAGCGUGGCCCGCGCCGCGCGCCGCCAACACGGCGCAGAUCCCGGGUAAGGCCGCUCAGAGAAAUGAGCCUCUCCCCCGCCUCCGGGCGGGGCAGACAGAACUCGGCUUACAGCCCCUCCGGAGUU
rnacentral:RNase_P_RNA from 1 species